rnacentral:rRNA from 1 species
UACGAAGGGGGCUAGCGUUGCUCGGAUUGACUGGACGUAAAGGGCGCGUAGGCGGUUCGUACAGUCAGACGUGAAAUUCCUGGGCUCAACCUGGGGCUGCGUUUGAUACGUGCGGACUUGAGUGCGGAAGAGGGUCGUGGAAUUCCCAGUGUAGAGGUGAAAUUCGUAGAUAUUCGGAAGAACACCAGUGGCGAAGGCGGCUCACUGGACUGGUAUUGACGCUGAGGUGCGAAAGCGUGGGAGCAAACAGG